GGAGAGGUGCCGGAGUGGUCGAACGGGGCACCCUGCUAAGGUGUUAGUCGCGCAAGUGGCUCGAGGGUUCGAAUCCCUCCCUCUCCGCCA
rnacentral:tRNA from 1 species